UACGUAGGGUGCAAGCGUUAAUCGGAAUUACUGGGCGUAAAGCGUGCGCAGGCGGUUUUGUAAGACUGUCGUGAAAUCCCCGGGCUCAACCUGGGAAUGGCGAUGGUGACUGCAAGGCUUGAGUGCGGCAGAGGAGACUGGAAUUCCUGGUGUAGCAGUGAAAUGCGUAGAUAUCAGGAGGAACACCGAUGGCGAAGGCAGGUCUCUGGGCUGACACUGACGCUCAUGCACGAAAGCGUGGGGAGCAAACAGG
rnacentral:rRNA from 1 species